UAGAUGAAAACUUUCUUAUCUUUGUGUGAGUAGAAUGAGAAUAUCACAAUAAUUAAUCAAUGUAAGAACUACCAAAAAAUCAAACCACAAGAAAGCGACAAGAAUUUUUAAGGUGGACAACCCUCCAAUAUGAGGAGAAAAAACCACCGGACCUAAGUCCACCACAAACCUCCACUAUCAACAAUAAUGGGCUUAUAAAGUAUCUUCUCUAGG
rnacentral:lncRNA from 1 species